UACAGAGGUCUCAAGCGUUGUUCGGAUUCAUUGGGCGUAAAGGGUGCGUAGGUGGCGCGCUAAGUCAGGUGUGAAAUCUCGGGGCUUAACUCCGAAACUGCAUUUGAUACUGGCGUGCUUGAGGACUGGAGAGGAGACUGGAAUUCAUGGUGUAGCAGUGAAAUGACGUAGAGAUCAUGAGGAAGACCAGUGGCGAAGGCGGGUCUCUGGACAGUUCCUGACACUGAGGCACGAAGGCCAGGGGAGCAAACGGG
rnacentral:rRNA from 1 species